ACCCAUUCCGAACCCGGAAGCUAAGCCUCUCAGCGCCGAUGGUACUGCCCCGGAGACGGGGUGGGAGAGUAGGACGCCGCCGGAC
rnacentral:rRNA from 1 species